CACGUAGGGUGCGAGCGUUGUCCGGAAUUAUUGGGCGUAAAGAACUCGUAGGCGGUGUGUCGCGUCGGCCGUGAAAACCUGCAGCUUAACUGUGGGCUUGCGGUCGAUACGGGCAUCACUGGAGUUCGGCAGGGAGACUGGAAUUCCUGGUGUAGCGGUGAAAUGCGCAGAUAUCAAGGAGGAACACCGAUGGCGAAGGCAGGUCUCUGGGCCACUACUGACGCUGAGAAGCGAAAGCGUGGGGAGCGAACAGG
rnacentral:rRNA from 1 species